AACGAACGCUGGCGGCAGGCCUUAUACAUGCAAGUCGAAUGAGAAAGCUACUUCGGUAGUAAUUAUCAUGGCGCACGGGUGAGUAACGCGUAGAGAACUACCAAACAGUUUGGAAUAACCAUUGGAAACGAUGAACAAUACCAAAUACACCCUUAGGGGGAAAGAUUUAUCGCUGUUUGAUGUGUCUGCGUUAGAUUAGCUAGUUGGUGAGGUAAUGGCUCACCAAGGCGACGAUCUAUAGCUGGUUUGAGAGGAUGAUCAGCCACACUGGAACUGAGACACGGUCCAG
rnacentral:rRNA from 1 species